UACGAAGGGGGCUAGCGUUACUCGGAUUGACUGGGCGUAAAGGGCGCGUAGGCGGAUGGUACAGUCAGACGUGAAAUUCCUGGGCUCAACCUGGGGGCUGCGUUUGAUACGUGCUGUCUGGAGUUCGGAAGAGGGUCGUGGAAUUCCCAGUGUAGAGGUGAAAUUCGUAGAGAUUGGGAAGAACACCAGUGGCGAAGGCGGCUAUCUGGACGGUUUCUGACGCUAAGACGCGAAAGCGUGGGGAGCAAACAGG
rnacentral:rRNA from 1 species